rnacentral:rRNA from 1 species
UACAGAGGGUGCGAGCGUUGUCCGGAAUCACUGGGCGUAAAGGGCGCGUAGGUGGCGCUCCAAGUCUGUGGUGAAAGCUCGACGCUCAACGUCGAGUCGGCCAUAGAGACUGGAGGGCUCGAGCACUGUAGGGGCAGAUGGAAUUCCGGGUGUAGCGGUGGAAUGCGUAGAGAUCCGGAAGAACACCGGUGGCGAAGGCGGUCUGCUGGGCAGUUGCUGACACUGAGGCGCGGCAGCGUGGGGAGCAAACAGG